GGGGCGUGGGUCGUACCACGCGCCCCGUUCCCGUGCCCGCGCUGCCGGUGGCACCGGGAACGGCAGUGCCACCACCCGUGUGGGGUUCGCGCCUACUGUUCGCGCAACAGAUGAGAGAGGCGAGAGGUGGUCUGAGCGGCAGAGGGGCACCCGGAGAAGAUUAGAGUCUCCCCAUUUACUAAGCACAGAUGUCAUUGGCAACCCAGGUAGUCGGCAGCAUGUCUGGUUUGUCUCCCUGUUCCCAGACCCAGCUCCAGGGCCCAGUACAAAAAUAAGAGCUCAGCAGUGCGCUCACAGCUGUUCGAGUGAGAUGAUAACUGCACUGGAGACGUGGAAGCCUCUGCGGUGCAGGGGUUCCAGAGCCACACCGUACCUGCCAGAACCACAGUGGCCGAAGUGAUGCCUGAGAGCCACCUUUUCACUCAGCUCCAAAUGUGUAGAUGUCAAUGUUUACCUGCUUCGUAAAAGAAAUAAGUUGUAACUCAAGCAUACAUCAAUACAGUAAACUUUUUAAAACUGAAAGAAAAGAAAAGACGUAAAGAAUGUUCUGAAAUGAUUUCUAGAACAUUGGGACUCUCUGUUCUUUAAAAGAUGUGAGAAACUUC
ensembl:lncRNA